rnacentral:rRNA from 1 species
GACGAACGCUGGCGGCGUGCUUAACACAUGCAAGUCGAACGGACCUUUUUUGGAAGAAGCCUUCGGGUGGAAAUUAGGAAAGGUUAGUGGCGGACGGGUGAGUAACGCGUAGAUAAUCUACCUUAAAGACUGGGACAACAGUUGGGAACGACUGCUAAUACCGGAUACGCUGCACAUAGGGCAUCCUAGGUGCAGGAAAAGAGGCCUCUUAACAAUGCUCCUGCUUUUAGAUGAGUCUGCGUCUGAUUAGCUAGAUGGUGGGGUAACGGCUUACCAUGGCGACGAUCAGUAGUCGGCCUGAGAGGGUGACCGGCCACAUUGGGACUGAGACACGGCCCAAACUCCUACGGGAGGCAGCAAUGGGGAAUCUUCCGCAAUGGGCGAAAGCCUGACGGAGCAACGCCGCGUGAUCGAAUGAAGGCCUUCGGGUUGUAAAGAUCUGUUGACAGGGACGAAUAAGCAAUGCGAAUAGUUUUGUGUA